AUGAGAAGGAGACAGAGGGAAAGGAGCGCUGUGCCACCGAUUCCCAGGAGCACUCCCUUGGAUAACGCGGCGGAGACGGGCGCCCUGUCUGCACAGGAUGGCAGCGGUGACCAUUUCCCUCAAGUGUCUGGUGCCACCCCCCUCGCUGUCUGCAGCCACUUCCUCCUCACUCUAGGAACCACGACUGCAGCCUGGGUCCCAGGUCAGCGUGGCGGGGGGCCGGCUGUCAGCAGCACGGAGGAGCCUCAGGAACUGGCCUUUCUGGGCCUCCAGGAAGAACUCCUCCCAACACCACCCCUCACAGGGCUCAGACUCUGCACCCUCCCCUCCACGGACCUCUCCAACACAGAGCCCUCUGUGUGCCGGGGCUGCGUACACACCCGGAGCCCACAGCACACUCACAGGCUAUGCUCAGUCUGACCGUCCUCUGAGUGCUCCGGCCGCCCCUGGAGAAGUCCACUCGACAGGAAUUAUUCUAAGCCCGGCAACCUAGCAUGGUCUCCAUCCCACCCUUUACCUCUGUGGUGAGGCAGUGGCCUUCGCUCCCCUAGAAGCUCCGCCCACCCCCUCUUCCGUCUUACAGUUGGCAUCUCACUGGUGACAUCUGCUGUGAUUUGAAUACUGGAGCCCACAGCUGGCAGUGGAAAGGGCAGCAGCAGGCCAUGUAAGCAGGAGGAACAGACUCCCCGCAGUGUGGGCCCCACACCUGACCUUUUCUGAGAAGAUCCUGGGUCAGAUAGAGACCCAGUGUUCAGCCACUCAGCCUCCACACACCCAUGAACCGGGCACUGGUGUCUGCUCUCAAGAGCACCUGCUUUGGUAAACGAAACUUCUUAGGAACAGAAAAGCACUGAGAUGCUCAUAGCCCCAGAUGAUGGGGCUGACAUUCAUGGGGGACCCAGGGAUGGAGUGGUCAUUCCCUUCUAGUGGAAGGAAGUCAGGACAGGUCACUGGCAGGAAGCGACCCUUAGCUGUCCUUGCUGCCCCUUGAUUCUGUUCUUAACUCCACUGGAUCCAUCUGCCCAAGCUGAUGAUAUAGAGAACAGUCAACCAUCAGAAUAUGUGCAUUCCUUGUCUGUGGAUUCCACUAACCAUGGAUUAAAAGCACUAAGAAAAAUCAUCUAUCCUGCGCAUGCACAUAUUUUUUGUGCCUGUCUUUAUUCCCUAAAGAACAAUAGCUAUUCCCACAGCACUUACAUUGUUCUGGGCAUUAUACGUCACCUAGGGCUAACUGAAGGUAUGUGGGCAGAAGUGUGCAGGUUGUACAGAAGUGCCAUCAUCCUGUACAGUGUAAGGGACUUGGGCCUUCACAGGAACCACUGUCCCGGGGAUGCUGAGGAUGACUACCACAGACGGACAGAGUGGCUGAAAUGACGGAAGUUCAAUUCCUCACAGUUCAGGAAGCCGGAAGUCCAAGACCAAGGUGUGGGCAGGGAUGGAUUCUCCUGAGGCCUCUCUGCCCAGCCUGCACCUGCACCUGAGAGGGGGUUGACCUUCCCCCUGUCUUCACAUGGUCUUUCCUGCCUGUGCAUCUGUGACUUAAACACUUUGUCUGAGGACCCCAGACAAAUGAUCUCAUUUGAAAUAAACCACCUUGUGAAUGGCCCCAUCUCCCUCUCUGAAGAGUCAC
rnacentral:lncRNA from 1 species